rnacentral:rRNA from 1 species
UGCAGUCGAGCGAACGGACGAGAAGCUUGCUUCUCUGAUGUUAGCGGCGGACGGGUGAGUAACACGUGGAUAACCUACCUAUAAGACUGGGAUAACUUCGGGAAACCGGAGCUAAUACCGGAUAAUAUUUUGAACCGCAUGGUUCAAAAGUGAAAGACGGUCUUGCUGUCACUUAUAGAUGGAUCCGCGCUGCAUUAGCUAGUUGGUAAGGUAACGGCUUACCAAGGCAACGAUGCAUAGCCGACCUGAGAGGGUGAUCGGCCACACUGGAACUGAGACACGGUCCAGACUCCUACGGGAGGCAGCAGUAGGGAAUCUUCCGCAAUGGGCGAAAGCCUGACGGAGCAACGCCGCGUGAGUGAUGAAGGUCUUCGGAUCGUAAAACUCUGUUAUUAGGGAAGAACAUAUGUGUAAGUAACUGUGCACAUCUUGACGGUACCUAAUCAGAAAGCCACGGCUAACUACGUGCCAGCAGCCGCGGUAAUACGUAGGUGGCAAGCGUUAUCCGGAAUUAUUGGGCGUAAAGCGCGCGUAGGCGGUUUUUUAAGUCUGAUGUGAAAGCCCACGGCUCAACCGUGGAGGGUCAUUGGAAACUGGAAAACUUGAGUGCAGAAGAGGAAAGUGGAAUUCCAUGUGUAGCGGUGAAAUGCGCAGAGAUAUGGAGGAACACCAGUGGCGAAGGCGACUUUCUGGUCUGUAACUGACGCUGAUGUGCGAAAGCGUGGGGAUCAAACAGGAUUAGAUACCCUGGUAGUCCACGCCGUAAACGAUGAGUGCUAAGUGUUAGGGGGUUUCCGCCCCUUAGUGCUGCAGCUAACGCAUUAAGCACUCCGCCUGGGGAGUACGACCGCAAGGUUGAAACUCAAAGGAAUUGACGGGGACCCGCACAAGCGGUGGAGCAUGUGGUUUAAUUCGAAGCAACGCGAAGAACCUUACCAAAUCUUGACAUCCUUUGACAACUCUAGAGAUAGAGCUUUCCCCUUCGGGGGACAAAGUGACAGGUGGUUGCAUGGUUGUCGUCAGCUCGUGUCGUGAGAAGUUUGGGUUAAGUCCCGCAACGAGCGCAACCCUUAAGCUUAGUUGCCAUCAUUAAGUUGGGCACUCUAAGUUGACUGCCGUGACAACCGGA